rnacentral:rRNA from 1 species
CCUACGGGUGGCAGCAGUGGGGAAUAUUGCGCAAUGGGGGCAACCCUGACGCAGCCAUGCCGCGUGAAUGAAGAAGGCCUUCGGGUUGUAAAGUUCUUUCGGUGGUGAGGAAGGGAUGUUGUUUAAUAGAUAACAUCAUUGACGUUAACUACAGAAGAAGCACCGGCUAACUCCGUGCCAGCAGCCGCGGUAAUACGGAGGGUGCGAGCGUUAAUCGGAAUAACUGGGCGUAAAGGGCACGCAGGCGGACCUUUAAGUGAGGUGUGAAAUCCCCGGGCUUAACCUGGGAAUUGCAUUUCAUACUGGGGGUCUGGAGUACUUUAGGGAGGGGUAGAAUUCCACGUGUAGCGGUGAAAUGCGUAGAGAUGUGGAGGAAUACCGAAGGCGAAGGCAGCCCCUUGGGGAUGUACUGACGCUGAUGUGCGAAAGCGUGGGGAGCAAACAGGAUUAGAUACCCCGGUAGUC